rnacentral:misc_RNA from 1 species
AAGUCGUAACAAGGUCUCCGUAGGUGAACCUGCGGAGGGAUCAUUAACACUAUUUGGCUUGCCUUCGCAUGUUCACGACAUGAGUUGCAAGUUCAAAUUUCUACACACAUUGUGAACUCGUUGGUUCCUUUCUCGUCAAACAGAAAGGAACUGGCCUAAUAUAACUGCCUCGAGGGUAAGGUAGCCGACGUGACGCAGUGGACGAUCGUUUGUUCCUUCGGGAUCAAAUCUUCGUAACUCCGCUUCCGUCCCUCGAUUGUGGUUUGAUUUUGGGAGAUGUGACACUCACACGUCUCGGCCCCCUGUUGCCUUCACCUUUAAACCAAUCGACUAAUAUAACAAAAGAGAAACGGAAACGUAUCUUUUUUCGAUAUCAAAAACUAAGCACAACUCUUAGCAACGGAUAUCUUGGUUCUC